AAUGAAGCAAAAGGUUUCACUGUGGCACUCAAGAUUCUGUUCAGCUGAAAUUCAGUGAUAUUUUGAAGAAAUGCCCACUAGAGAAGAUUGGGUUUGAGGCCAUCUAAGCAACAUGGAGAUAAAUGGGUCCAUGAGGUGCAUCUGAGGGCCCUGGGGGAACUGGCAGAUGAAGUUGUUAAGCCAUCGUCCAUCAGAUUUGGUGUCUGGGGACAUUAAAUGGCAGAGAGAAGGGAGAGAGGAAGAAGAGACUCUCAAGCCCAGUGGAAAGAAACUUCAAAGCAUCACCAAUUUAUCUGAAAAUCUUUAAUGGUUCAAAUUACCCAAGAAUCUCAAGAAGCACUCAGAGAGGGAUGAAGAAGUAGUAGUGUGACUUACGUAUGAUUGACAAGGAGAGAGCAGGAUCUUCCCCAGUACGCAUUUCUGCAGCUCUUCUGUUCCAUUAAUAUCAAGUUAAAAUAUUCUUUUAGGAGUCCUUCCAAAACAACAAGUUUUUCUACAUCCAAGUGUCUUUGUAGGAAAAGACUUUGUAGGAAAAAACUUCGUGGGCUUUUUUGGUUAUUUUCUUUUCUCCUUGUAUAGAAAUGCUAAUGGAAUGGGCUGGAAUAACAAAGGAUAAGCAGACUCAUUUUUAAAAACCAUUUCUGAUAAAGAAAGCCUCCCCAAAGCCUCUGCUGUGCAGAGAAGUGAUAUCUCAAGCUACAGACACAAUUACCACCAGUAACCGAGAUCUUCACUUGGAAACAAGACCGAGCUGCGAGCCCUCCUCACUCCCACUCCUCGUGGCUGCAUUUCAGGGAGCUGUGCAGGGUGCUGGGGUGGCCGCACCCAGGGAUGCUCUGCGUGGCUCCAUCCAUCACAUGGCACAUGUCCUCCCUGCACCACGGCCAGCAACAGCUUCAGAUUUUCUCAAGGGUUCCCAUUUUACAAGCACAACUCCUCUGUUCAUCAAGCUACAGUGCAGGAAUAACUUAGCUGGCAGCUCGUCAGGCUGAAAUCUGGAACUGCAGUAAUGGUUGCUCGUUUGGUAGGACCAAAGAGCUUAAUUACAUACACCAAAUGACUCGAGUUCCAAACAGUUGUAUUCUCAUUUUAAUUAAACUGUAGGAGCCAAUAAUUAUCUCCUCUUUUCUUACACUGAGCAAUAGUGGUCUUCAUCCUUCAUGAACAGCAUCCUUGAUAAUGAAGAAAAAAAGUUAUUUGAAUAAAAAUUUAUUGCUGAGUACUAAA